rnacentral:rRNA from 1 species
UACGUAGGGUGCGAGCGUUAAUCGGAAUUACUGGGCGUAAAGCGUGCGCAGGCGGUUUUGUAAGUCAGAUGUGAAAUCCCCGAGCUCAACUUGGGAACUGCGUUUGAAACUACAAAACUAGAAUAGGUCAGAGGGGGGUAGAAUUCCACGUGUAGCAGUGAAAUGCGUAGAGAUGUGGAGGAAUAUCAAUGGCGAAGGCAGCCCCCUGGGAUCAUAUUGACGCUCAUGCACGAAAGCGUGGGGAGCAAACAGG